rnacentral:lncRNA from 1 species
CUGUGGCAUAUGGAGGUUCCCAGGCUAGGGGUUUAGUUGGAGCUGUAGCCUCCAACCUACACCAGAGCCACAGCAAUGCGGGACCUAAGCUGUGUCUGCAACCUACACCACAGCUUACAGCAACACCAGAUCCUUAACCCACUGAGCAAGGCCAGAGAUCGAACCUGCAACCUCAUGGUUCCUAGUCGGAUUUGUUUCUGCUGGGCCACAACGGGGUCUCCUAGUUCUCUGAUUUUGUUCAUCAGUUUUGUAGUUUUGCUUAUAUGUGUUUUAUACAUAUUUUCUUGUAUUUAUACGUAAAAUUUUAUUUUGAGGUGCUAAUACAAUGGUAUGGUGAUUUUCUUUUUUGCUUUUCAGGCCCCACCUGCAGCAUAUGGAGGUUCCCAGGCUAGGGGUCCAAUUGGAGCUACAGCUGCCAGCCUACACCACAACCACAGCAAUGCCAGAUCCAAGCCAAAUCUUUGACUUGCACCACAGCUCAAUGUACUUAUGCAGUGAGACCAGAAAAAUGGAUGAAAGGUAUACAGAUUGGAAAGGAAAAAAUAAAACUAUGUUUGUUUGCAUGUGACAUGAUUAUCUGUGUAGAAAAUCUGAAAGAAGUGACAAUGACAACAAAUCUUUUUACUUCUAGUACAUUGUUGAAAAGGAGCAGUGAAUGGGGGCAUCCCUGCCUUCUUCCUCCUAGUGGAAAGCUCUUCCUCUUCUUCUUUUUCUUUUUCUUUUUUUUUUUUUCCUGUCUCUUGUCUUUUUAGGGCCGCAUCUGUGGCAUGUGCAGGUUCCCAGGCCAGGGGUCGAAUUGGAGCUGGAGCUGCUGGGCCUACACGUACACAGCCACAGCAAUGCCGGAUCUGAACGGCAUCUUCAACCUACACCAUAGCUCAUGGCAACACCGGAUCCUUAACCCUCUGAGCAAGGCCAGGGAUUGAACCUGCAACCUCAAGGUUUCUAGUCGGGUUCAUUUCCGCUGUGCCACGAUGGGAAUUCCAUUCCUCUUCUAUCUUAAUGAUAGAAAACUUCAUUGGUCUGUAGUUUUCUUGUAAUGCCUUUGUUUUGCUUUGGUACUAGGAUAAUGCUGUCCUUAUAAAAUGAGUUAGGAAAUAUUCUUUCUUCUUGCCCCUUUCCUCUUCCCUCUCCCCACUGAUGACUAUUAGUUUGUUUUUUGUAUCUGUGAGUCUCCUUCAUUUUUGUUGUAUUAACUAGUUUAUUUUUCAUAUUCUACCUAUAACUGGUAACAUGCGGUAUUUGUCAUUCUCUGACUUAUUUUAGUAAGCAUAACUCUCUCCAGGUCCAUCCAUGUUGUUACAAAUGGAAAAAUUUCAUUCUUUUUUAUGGCUGAGUACUAAUUCGCUGUAUAUAUACCACAUCUUCUUUAUCCAUUCCUCUGUUGGCAGAUAUUUAGGUUGCUUACAUAACUUUGUUAUUGUGAAUAAUGCUGCUGUGAAUAUUGGAGUGAGUGUAUCUUUUUGAAUUAGUGUUUUCAUUUUAUUUAGAUAUAUACCCAGGAGUGGAAUUACUGGAUCAUAUGGUAGUCCUAUUUUUAGUUUUUUGAGGACCCACCAUACUGUUUUCCACAGUGGCUGUACCAGUUUACAUUCCCACUAACAGUGUACAAGAGUUCCCUUCUCUCCAUGUUCUCACCAACAUUUGUUAUUUAUGUUAUUUUUUUUAUUUUUUUAUUUUUUGUCUUUGGAGCUGAACUGGCAGCAUAUGGAGGUUCCCAGGCUAUGGGUCGAAUCGGAGCUGUAGCUGCUGGCCUACACCACAGCCACAGCAACGCCAGAUCCAAGCUGCAUCUUUGACCUACACCACAGUUCACGGCAAUGCCACAUCCUUAACCCACUGAGCGAGGCCAGGGAUUGAACCUGCAACCUCAUGGUUCCUAAUCGUAUUUGUUUCCGCUGCACCACGAUGGACUCCUGAUAGUUUGUUAUUAAUGUAUAGAAGUGCAGCAGAUUUUUGUAGACUAAUUUUGUAUUGUGCAACUUUACUGAAUUCAUUGAUGAGCUCCAGUCGUGUUUUGGUGAAAUCUUUAGGAUUUCCUAUGUAUAAUAUUAUGUCAUCUGCCCAGAGGGUCUGUUUUACUUUUUCCUUUCCAAUUUGAAUUUGUUUUACUUCUUUUCCUUGUCUGAUUGCUGUGGCUAGGACUUCUAAUACUAUUUUAUUUUUAAUUUUUAUUUUUAUUUUUUGUCUUUUUGCCAUUUUCUUGGGCCACUCUCGCGGCACAUGGAGGUUCCCAGGUCAGGGGUCGAAUCGGAGCUGCAGCCACCAGCCCACGCCAGAGCCACAGCAACGUGGGAUCCGAGCCGCGUCUGCAACCUACACCACAGCUCACGGCAACGCCGGAUCGUCAACCCACUGAGCAAGGCCAGGGAUCGAACCUGCAACCUCAUGGUUCCUAGUCGGGUUCACCAACCACUGCGCCAUGACGGGAACUCCCUAAUACUAUUUUAAAUAGGAGUGGACAUCCUUGUCUGGUUCCUCAUCUUAGAGGAAAUGCUUUCAGUUUUUCACCAUUGAGUAUGGUGCUAUUUGUGGGCUUAUCAUAUAUGGCAUUUGUUAUGUUGAGGUAUGUUCCCUCUGUACCCAUUUUUUUUUUUUUUUGGAGAAUUUGUCUUAUAAAUGGGUGUUGAACUUUGUCAAAAGCUUUUAUGCAUCUAUUGAAAUGAUCAUAUGGUUUUUAUUCACUUUGUGGAUGUGGUGUAUCCUAUGAUUGAUUUGCAGUCAUUGAACUGUCCUUACAUUCCUGAGGUAAAUCCCACUCGAUCAUGGUGUAUGAUCCUUUUAAUGUAUUGUUGGGUUCAAUUUGCUAAUACUUUGUUGAGGAUUUUGGCAUCUAUGUUCAUCAGUGGUAUUGGCCUAUUAAUUUUCUCUUUUUUGUGUGGUGUUUUUGUCUGGUUUUGGUAUUAGGGUGAUGCUGGCCUAACUGAAUGUGUUCAGAAGUGGCAGAAGUGUUCCUUCCUCUGCAGUUUUAUUGGAAUAAUUUGAGAAGGAUAAGUGUUAACUCAUCUCUAAAUGUUCAGCAUUAUUCACCUGUGAAGCAAUCUGGUCCUCAACUUUUUAUUUGUUGGGAAGUUUUUACCUUCUAUUUUUUUUGUCUUUUUGCCUUUUCUAGGGCCACUCCCGUGGCAUAUGGAGAUUCCCAGGCUGGGGGUCUAAUCAGAGCUGUAGCCACUGGCCUACGCCAUAGCCACAGCCACAGCAACGUGGGAUCUGAGCUGCGUCUGCAACCUACACCACAGCUCACAGCAACGCCAGAUCCUUAACCCACUGAGCGAGGCCAUGGAUCAAACCCGCAACCUCAUGGUUCCUAGUCUGAUCCAUUAAACACUGAGCCACGACCAGAACUCCUAGCUUCUGUUUUUUAAUUAUUACUUAUUCAUUACUGGUAAUAGGUCUUUUCAUAUUUUCUACUUCCUCCUGGUUCAGCCUUGGGAGAUUGUACAUUUCUAGGAAUUUGUCCAUCCUUUCUAGGUUGUCCAUUUUAUUGGCAUAUGGUUGUUCAUAGUAAUCUCUUAUGACCCUUUGUAUCAUGUGGUAUUGGUUGUAACUUCUCCUUUUUCAUUUCUGAUUUUAUUGAUUUGGGCCCUUUCUCCUUUUUUUCUUGAUGAGGCUCACCAAAGAUUUAUCAAUUUUGUUUAUCUUUUCAAAGACCCAGCUCUUUUCUCAUUUAUUUCGGCUCUGAUCUUUAUGAUUUCCUUCCGUCUAUUGAUUUUGGGUUUUGUCUUUUUCUAGUUCCCUGAGGUGUAAGGUUAGGUUGUUUAUUUGAAGUAAGCUUGUAUCACUACAGACUUUCCUCAUAGAACUUUUUUGUUAUUUUGGAUCGUUUUCAUUUUCGUUUGUUUCCAGGUUUUUGUGGGGUUUUUUCUUAUUUGAUUUUUUUCAGUGAUCCAUUGUAAUAUAGUUGCAUAUUGUUUGGCCUCCAUGUUUGUGGUUUUUGUAGUCCCUCUCCCACCCGCACCUGCAUCUGCAUGGAUGCUAGUCAGGUUCUUAACUAUUCUACUAAGUCACAACAGGAACUCCAGAAUUCUGCUUUUUAAAAAUUCAUCUGGUUCUGUGUUAUAUGGGGAUGAGCACUUUUAAUAUUAAGACUUUUCAGAACAACAACAAAAAAAUCCAAGCUACUCAACAUUGUCUCUCUAUAUUCUAUCUCCUGUUUAGUUAUAUGUUGGAAUAUUUGGACAUAUCCCUGUAUCUUUUAGCUUUCCUUGAUACUUUCUCCAUCUGUACUUCUAGGCUGAGUAAUGGGAAGCAUGCCUUGCAAUCAUCCCGCUCACAGCUUUGCUCUUAAGCUGUUUGUUUUUUAAUUUAAUGGCUAUAUAUCUACUGUGUCCUUGGGAUAUCAGAUACACUUGCUUGUUAUACCUUUCUUAUAUGGAUUUUUUUCUUUUGAAAAUUUUCUUUGGGUUUUUCUUGAAAUAUUUUGGUGAUUCAUACUUGUAAUUUGUUUAGUUGCUCAUUUUUGUAUUUGAGAGCCUAUUUUUGUGGAUGUUGUUUUGUUUAUCGAAUCCAGUGAUGGGAGGGGCGGGCUGUGCUACCAGGUAAGGAUAUGUCAGUAUUUUUGAUUCUGGGUAUAGGCGUCUCUUCCCUGGUGGGGGCACUGCCCUGCUUCUCCAGCUCCAGUGGCUUCAUGCAAUGUUACAUUAUAGACUGUAUAUAGACACCCUAUCUGCCCCCAAGUCAGCCCAUGGGUGGCGGUUGGAACUUGCCUUGCUAUUCCGUCAGCUCCCUAAUGAGUCUCCCUGCCCAAAAAGAGUCCCUGACCCACCAGCAUCCAUGGGUAUCCUGCUCUGUGCAUCUAUUAAUCCUGGGUUCCAACACAUUCCUCCCUUUGCAGUAGUCUACCUGUUUUGUGUUGUGAUUUCCUCCCAUUUUAUUUGCCUAUAUCUUAGAUCCCAUCUGCUCUCUAUCUUUCUGGCAUUCCCCAAAAUUUCAAUUCCAUUGCUAGCCCUCUCAUUUCUUAGUGCCAAGGCAGAUUUUCAUAUUUUUCCUCUACUUUAGCCCCUUAUGGAAUUUAGGUUUGAAUGAGAUUGUAGAUGUUUCUGUUCCAUAUGCCAUCUUGAUUCAUUCUCACUAAUACCGUGUUAAAAUAACAACAAAAAUGUUUGUAGCCUUCUUCUUAUUUCAGUUAAUUUUCUUGAAGAGAACUAGUGUUGCAGUGGCUCCUGGGCUGGUCCUGUAGUUACAAAAUGUGCUGUACUACUAGCCAUAAACAGGAUUCUUUACAAGGAAUUAUUGAAAUAGCAGCUCUUUUCUCUGCUCCCUAGUAUGCAAAAUUUUGUAAUAAACUUACUGAUACUAAAGAGCAAAUCCUAGCAUUGAAUACUCUCAACGGUCACAAAACAAUAUUCAGUAAUAACCGAUUUUGUUGGCAUUAAAAGAUUAGGGACAAGAGAAUUAUUUUUAAAACUACUCAGUUGGGCAGCAUCGUGGCAGUGGAAGAUGUUCCUCCUGUUGUCCUCCCUUUAAAAUAAUGAAUUAGACAUCAAUCCACAAACGAAAGCACUGUUGUGGGAACAAGCACAAUAUGCCAAGGGACCCAUGAGGAGUCUCACCUACCUGUUAAUCCAGUCACAAGCUCUUGAACGAGCAAAACUGUUCCAAAUCCUCAUGUCCCAUUCCGAAAAAAAGUCUGGAGAGUGCCGACAGGUAAACAUGGGCAGGUAAACAUGGAUAGGAGAAAAUCUGCAGAAAUCCAGACUUCCCACUGGGAGAUACCAGCCCACU